UACGUAGGUGGCAAGCGUUGUCCGGAUUUAUUGGGCGUAAAGAGCUCGUAGGCGGUUUGGUAAGUCUGGUGUGAAAUCUCCACGCUCAACGUGGAGGGGCCACCCGAUACUGCCAUGACUGGAGUCCGGUAGAGGAGUGUGGAAUUCCCGGUGUAGCGGUGAAAUGCGCAGAUAUCGGGAGGAACACCCGUAGCGAAGGCGGCACUCUGGGCCGGUACUGACGCUGAGGAGCGAAAGCGUGGGGAGCAAACAGG
rnacentral:rRNA from 1 species